UGAAUUACAAGCUGUCAAUAUAGACUUU
rnacentral:sRNA from 1 species